GUUCCAUACAACUAAGGCAUUUCUGUCCCACUGGGAAUUUUUAGGGGGAAUACAGUUUUGAGAGUUCAAAAAAAUUAAUAUAGAAUUGAAAAAAGUUAGAAUUUUUAUUUCUACGUCAAUGUUAUUUUGCUUAAUUUUUAAAAUUUUUAGACAAAUAUUCUAAAAAAUAUAAAAUGAUUAUUUAUGGGCGAUUUUUCAAAGGCUUACAAUGUUGUCGCACUUCCAUUUUUUGGCAUAAAAACGAGCUUAACUCAAAUUUACGGCAAUUUUUAACUUACCCGUGCUGUGAUAAAAUCGAAUUGAAAUGAUUUUUCGAAAUGUUAUCAUUCUCAAUUUUCCAAAAAUCUAAAAUACAUCAAUUUCCUAUUAGUAAUUUAAAAUCACCGUCGAUUUUUCGGAGUCUUACUAGAAUGUCGCACUUGCGUAAAAACAACGUUUCAGACUCAAUUUUGACGUUAA
rnacentral:lncRNA from 1 species